rnacentral:rRNA from 1 species
GGAAGGUUGGACAAGGGAUGAGCUGUCUCCUUUAUGUAGUUUGAAUUUAACUUUUGAGUGAAAAGGCUCAAAUUAUUUAGUGGGACGAUAAGACCCUAUAAAACUUUAUAUAAGUUUAAUUUGGCUUACAAUUUGAGUGAAAAGUAGCUUUAUUAGGCUUAUAUUUCGUUGGGGAGAUGUAGAUAUAAUGUGUAACUGUCUAUUUAAUUUAAUAAUUAUAAUUAGUGUGUGAUCCUUCUUUGUGGAUUAAAAGUAUAAGUUACUUUAGGGAUAACAGCGUGGUUUUCUUUGAGAGUUCUUAUCGACGAGAGUAGUUGCGACCUCGAUGUUGAAUUAAAAUUUCAGUUAGGUGUAGCCGUCCAGCUGGAAGGUCUGUUUCGACCUCUUAAAAUUUUACAUGAUUUGAGUUCAAACCGGUGUGAGCCAGGAUGGUUUCUAUCUAAA